CUCAGCGUCGCCGUUUCCAUCUUCCGCCACAGGGAUUUGAGCGUGGCGGAGAGGUCGAGGUGUGGCGCGACUUCCCUCGGCUCGUGGAUGUGGACGGCGACAGUAGUGAAGUUUCAACUCUUCGCGAAAAUUGCAGAAAAUUUUAUGUGCAACAGAAACACAAUUCGUCGCAUAAAUUACUCAACGGAAUUGAGUUUGCGCUUCCAAAGGGUGAUGAC
rnacentral:lncRNA from 1 species